AUUCCAAAGAGUUGGCUGCAUCCCUCUGCCAGAAUUGAACCCUUCUUUUCCUCAGUCAAAACUUAACUCUUUUGACAUGCUCAAUAGUUAUUAUUUGAUUCCAGUUACUUUUGAGGUACUAAUACACUGUUUUUGUUUGUCCUAUUGCAAAAGGAUAAUGAUGACCACAACAGUGGUUUUUAUACUUUUCUUUGUUAAGAUUUGGUUGAGAUGAUCACCUAAUCAGUACUUCAUUAAGCAGAUGUUACAGUGUUACAAUACAUAUUACACAUUAUACAAUAGAGCCUUAGCUUAGAUUUGCUGUUUUCAUUAUAUUUACGUUCUUUGCAAAUUGAUUUUAACUAAAGGAACAUGUAAUGUUAUGUUAAUGAGCCAACAUUAGACUGAUGUUUCAUGUAUUUUCCUGUGUCCAGGAGCAGAAGCAGUGGUCAUCAGAAACCUGGAGCAGAGUCUGAAGGACAGUCCGGGGCGCUCACCGGACACCAGUGUCCUGCAGAACGGAGCUCUUCAAGGGGAACACUCAACACGCAAGAGGACCAGAGUGGCCGUUCUCAUCUCUGGGAGUGGAACUAAUCUGCAGGCUCUGAUGGAGCAGGUGAAGAAACCGUCAAGUUCGGCGGAGAUCGUGGUGGUGAUCUCCAACAGACCGGGUGUCAUGGGGCUGAAGAGAGCGUCUAUGGCCGGCAUUCAGACACGGGUUUGUCUGAAAUAUAAUGAUGCUCCUAAACUAGAUUAAUAAUAAAUUUACAUUUAUGCAAUUAAAAUAAAUCCAUCUUUAAAAAAAAAUAAUAAUAAUAAUCCUUUUAUUUAAUAAUCAACAUUCAUAUAUAAACUUGAAAUAUAUAUGAAAAAAAAUUAUAAUAUAAAAUAAAAUGUAAUUGGCACUUAACAUAGUUUUUCUAUCAAUUUCUCAGUGAUGUAACAAACUUAUAAAAAAAAUUAUAAUAUGAAAGUUGUGCAUAGUGUUUUUAUAUCUAAGUUUUAAUUAUAUAAUUAUGUUUUGACUACAAUUCGGAAUUAAUAAUAAUGACAGAAAUAACCGUAACCAAAAUUAAAAUGGAAAUGGAAAAUACAAAAAUAAAAUCUAAUUUAAAUAUUUAAUAAAAAACUAAUAAAACUAAAAACUAGGGCUGUCAAUUGAUUAAAAAUUUAAAUCACACAUCUAAUUUGGCUGAGAAAUCACCCCUAAAAGAAAAUUUAAACUCAUUAUUGUGUUAACCCUCUGGAGUCUAAGGGUAUUUUUUGGGGCCUGGAGAAGUUUUUGUCAUGCCCUGACAUUUGUGGUUUUUUUCAGUUUCUUAUAAAUAUCUAAAUGGCUAAAGUCUAAUCUCACUGUAAUCAGCACAAACUAGGCUAUAAUAAUAUGUGAGCAGCAUGUAUGUACAUGAUUGUGUUUUUGAGAAAAAAAAUGUUAUGCGUGGUUAGUGAAAAACUAAAAAUGUUAAAUCACUUGAAAAAGGCAAUAAAACACAUACAGAAAAUUGGUUCCCAGGAAUUUUGAGAACUGGAGCUUGGUGUUAAAAAUAGGUUUUUAUAAAAUGCUAACAUGAUGACAAGCGAUAUUGAAGACCAAGGUUAAUAUAGUUAUCUAAACUAAAACCAUAUAAAGAAAACUUUUUUCAUCACUUGAAAUAAAAUAUUAACUAAAAUAAAUUAAGAUUUAAAAAAUAAGUAAUUUCAGCUUGUUGUCAAGGCAACAUUUCUCAUUUUCAUUUAGUAACGCUGUACAAAACAAAUUAAUAAUAAUGACAGAAAUAACCGUAACCAAAAUUAAAAUGGAAAUGGAAAAUACAAAAAUAAAAUCUAAUUUAAAUAUUUAAUAAAAAACUAAUAAAACUAAAAACUAGGGCUGUCAAUUGAUUAAAAAUUUAAAUCACACAUCUAAUUUGGCUGAGAAAUCACCCCUAAAAGAAAAUUUAAACUCAUUAUUGUGUUAACCCUCUGGAGUCUAAGGGUAUUUUUGGGGCCUGGAGAAGUUUUGUCAUGCCCUGACAUUUGUGGUUGUAUAUUAAAUAAAUUAAAAAAGAGACUUACUCAUGUUUAUGAACUCUGCUGAUAAAGUGCUUCAUCUUUUUCUGAGGAAAAUCCAAAUCUCAAAUCCUCAACCACAUCACAUCUUUUUGGGGUGAAUUAUGUCUUAUUCCUCUCAUCACGAAGCAAACAGUAAAAAUAUAAAAAACUUGAAGAACAAUCUCGCUGCGUUGUCUUCUGUUGUGUGGGCGUAUUCAAAAGCCGCGCGCUUCAGUGAAACAUUUGAAUCUCAAAAAGCGCGUUCAGCGCGGGGGCGUGGUCGCAUUAGAAGAUAAUUAAGGGAGACGUGAAAAACGGACAUCGCGUUGUUUUCAUAUGGAUUACUUUAUCACAGAAUAUUUGUUUCAGUAGCACUUGUUUAGUUUAAAAGUAGACAUGUCAGGCUUUCUAUAGAUAUCUCUCUCAUGUCUCUGUGUUGAGUAUUCACUGAGUUAAUAUUUCUACUUGAUUAUACAUUUAGUCAGGUAAUUAUAAGUUUGGUAAAAAGUACU
rnacentral:lncRNA from 1 species